GCAGGCUAUUUCCUUUAUGCUAUCUGGGAAGCAAGGACUACAAAGAUAAAUGCAGGCAAUGGAAUUUUCUAUAUUUGCCAGGCUUAUUCCAUCACAGGAAAUGCUCCUUCCAUGCUGUCAUCAAUUCACACCUCACAGGCCCCAAGGGAUGUCCAGGGAAAGACAUUUGAACUUCAGUUCAAAGAACCCUCUGGAAACAGACUGUUUUGUAACUGAAACUUUAUCAGGAUCCCAACAUCAGACUUCAGCAUCAGUACUGUGGUGUGUUUGGUGCUUGCUGACCCUUUCGUAUAGUCAUCUGCUUUUGUUAAACACAAUUAACCUUUGCUGACUACACAUCUGGCACACCCAUCUGCCAUCACUGGGUCUCAAAAAACCUGGAAUUAUUAGUAUAGCUUGUUGUGCAUCCACUUUCUACUGAAAGCACUAGGUUCACAUUGUGAAACCUCAGGGACAUUGCAGGAUAGACAGCUAGAGAUUUAAUGAGCUGAAAGCUCAUUAUAUUUGUUUCAGAUCAGCUAUCCACAAGUGAUGAGAAUGAGCAUUUCAUGUACACACUGAAGCAAUAAUUUUAGGCUGUAUCUGGAAAAAAAGGGAAUAUUACAGCAACAAAUUAGCAAACCUUUUGCUAUUUUAUUGAAAGUUAACAAGAACAUCUGUACUGCAGCUUAGUGAAAGGAAUAUAACACAUCAAGAUCUAUUAAAAUGUGUUUUUGCAUAAUUAGAUGGAGGUUUAUGAAAAUGACGUUGAUUACUCACUCUAUGUAUCCUAGAUCCAGAAUGCAUGGGAUUAAAUGUGUGACUUUUUUCUUAUUUUCUGAA